rnacentral:rRNA from 1 species
GGGGAAUAUUGGGCAAUGGGCGCAGGCCUGACCCAGCAACGCCGCGUGAAGGAAGAAGGCCCUCGGGUUGUAAACUUCUUUUAUUUAGGACGAAGAACGUGACGGUACUAAAUGAAUAAGCCACGGCUAACUACGUGCCAGCAGCCGCGGUAAUACGUAGGUGGCAAGCGUUAUCCGGAUUUACUGGGUGUAAAGGGCGUGUAGGCGGGACUGCAAGUCAGAUGUGAAAUUCCAGGGCUCAACUCUGGACCUGCAUUUGAAACUGUAGUUCUUGAGUGAUGGAGAGGCAGGCGGAAUUCCGAGUGUAGCGGUGAAAUGCGUAGAUAUUCGGAGGAACACCAGUGGCGAAGGCGGCCUGCUGGACAUUAACUGACGCUGAGGCGCGAAAGCGUGGGGAGCAAAC